CGGUGUUUAACUGGCGUGAUGUGGGACGUCCUACCGGUGGGCUUAGCCUCGCGAGGGGCGGCCCAACUAAUAUCCCGUCGCGGUGCUCUUUACUGAGUGUCGAGUCGGGCCGGUACGUUUACUUUGAACAAAUUAGAGUGCUUAAAGCAGGCUAUCCUCGCCUGAAUACUGCGUGCAUGGAAUAAUGGAAUAGGACCUCGGUUCUAUUUUGUUGGUUUUCGGAACCCCGAGGUAAUGAUUAAUAGGGACAGAUGGGGGCAUUCGUAUUGCGACGUUAGAGGUGAAAUUCUUGGAUCGUCGCAAGACGGACAGAAGCGAAAGCAUUUGCCAAAAAUGUUUUCAUUAAUCAAGAACGAAAGUUAGAGGUUCGAAGGCGAUCAGAUACCGCCCUAGUUCUAACCAUAAACGAUGCCAGCUAGCGAUCCGCCGAAGUUCCUCCGAUGACUCGGCGGGCAGCUUCCGGGAAACCAAAGCUUUUGGGUUCCGGGGGGAAGUAUGGUUGCAAAGCUGAAACUUAAAGGAAUUGACGGAAGGGCACCACCAGGAGUGGAGCCUGCGGCUUAAUUUGACUCAACACGGGAAACCUCACCAGGCCCAGACACCGGAAGGAUUGACAGAUUGAUAGCUCUUUCUUGAUUCGGUGGGGUGGGUGGUGCAUGGCCGUUCUUAGUUGGUGGAGCGAUUUGUCUGGUUAAUUCCGAUAACGAACGAGACUCUAGCCUGCUAAAUAGGCGUACCUUAUGGUAUCGCGAAGGCCCCCGGCUUCGGCCGGUGGGUUUUUACUACCAACGUACAAACAAAUCUUCUAGAGGGACAGGCGG
rnacentral:rRNA from 1 species